ACGCUCGACACCUACGGAGGCAGCAGUGGGGAAUAUUGGGCAAUGGGCGCAAGCCUGACCCAGCAACGCCGCGUGAAGGAAGAAGGCUUUCGGGUUGUAAACUUCUUUUAUUAAGGACGAAGCAAAUGACGGUACUUAAUGAAUAAGCUCCGGCUAACUACGUGCUAGCAGCCGCGGUAAUCUGAGCGGGCUGGCAAGGC
rnacentral:rRNA from 1 species